AAAAGAGCUCGUAGGCGGUUCAGUAAGUCAGGUGUUAAAGCUCCCGAGCUCAACUCGGAGAGGCCCAUUUGAUACUGCUGUGACUAGAAUCCAGUAGGGGAGCGUGGAAUUCCUGGUGUAGCGGUGAAAUGCGCAGAUAUCAGGAGGAACACCAGCGGCGAAGGCGGCGCUCUGGGCUGGAAUUGACGCUGAGGAGCGAAAGUGUGGGUAGCAAACAGGAUUAGAUACCCUGGUAGUCCACACCGUAAACGUUGGGCACUAGGUGUGGGGAGGAAUCAACCCUUUCCGUGCCGUAGCUAACGCAUUAAGUGCCCCGCCUGGGGAGUACGGCCGCAAGGCUAAAACUCAAAGGAAUUGGCGGGGGCCCGCACAAGCGGCGGAGCAUGUUGCUUAAUUCGAGGCAACGCGAAGAACCUUACCUAGGUUGAACUACGCAGGAAUAGCCACAGAGAUGUGGUGUCCUUCGGGGCCUGCGAUAGGUGGUGCAUGGCUGUCAUCAGCUCGUGUCGUGAGAUGUUGGGUUAAGUCCCGCAACGAGCGCAACCCUUAUCCUAUGUUGCCAGCGCGUAAUGGCGGGGACUCGUGGGAGACUGCCGGGGUCAACUCGGAGGAAGGUGGGGACGACGUCAAGUCAUCAUGCCCCUUAUGUCUAGGGCUGCAAACAUGCUACAGUGGCUGGUACAAAGGGCUGCGAAACCGCGAGGUCGAGCGAAUCCCAAAAAGCCAGUCUCAGUUCGGAUUGAAGUCUGCAACUCGACUUCAUGAAGCUGGAGUCGCUAGUAAUCCCGGAUCAGCAACGCCGGGGUGAAUACGUUCCCGGGCCUUGUACACACCGCCCGUCACACCACGAAAGUUGGCAACACCCGAAGUCAGUGGCCGAACCCCUCGGGGACGGAGCCGCCGAAGGUGGGGUUAUCAAUUGG
rnacentral:rRNA from 1 species